GAUGAAGAACGUAGCGAAAUGCGAUAAGUAAUGUGAUUUGCAGAAUUCAGUGAAUCAUCGAAUCUUUGAACGCACCUUGCACCCUUUGGCAUUCCGAAGGGUAUGCUCGUUUGAGUGUCAUUGUACUCUCACACUCUCCGAUCCUAUGGAUUCGGGGAGCGGUGGACUUGGGUGUUGCUGCCUUUCCUUGUGGCUCACCUCAAAUGUGUCAGUGCACCUCUUGGUUGGACAUAGUACGGCGUGAUAAGUGUCUUCGCCGGCACCUCGCAAGAGGGUGGCCGAUCGGGAGCUCUGUGCUUUCAAACCGUCUUCGGACAAUUUCUGACAACUUGACCUCAAAUCGAGUAGGACUACCCGCUGAACUUAAGCAUAUCAAUAAGCGGAGGA
rnacentral:misc_RNA from 1 species